rnacentral:rRNA from 1 species
UACGGAGGGUGCGAGCGUUGUCCGGAAUCACUGGGCGUAAAGCGUCCGCAGGUGGCUAUGUAAGUCUGCUGUUAAAGAGUGAGGCUCAACCUCAUAAGAGCAGUGGAAACUACAUGGCUAGAGUGCGUCGGGGCAGAGGGAAUCCUGGUGUAGCGGUGAAAUGCGUAGAGAUCAGGAAGAACACCGGUGGCGAAAGCGCUCUGCUAGGCCGCAACUGACAACUCAUGGACGAAAGCUAGGGGGAGCGAAUGGG